UGGAAUGAUUUGUACUUUUAGCGUCCUCGAUGGAAGUUCUUAUAGAAAAAAGAAACCGUCGGAUUCUUCUAUUUUUCAUUUCUUCCGACCCAUUUCAAACUCUAUUAAAAAAACUUCUGUCUCUUUUAACCACUAAGUCUGCCCUUUGAGGGGCCUCCUCAAUCCAUACCAUUGUUUCUGGCCAGUUCUUCCCUUCCUCCGCCAUCACGUGCGCUAUUUGGUUCGUCGUUCAUCCAGCAAAAGAGCAGAAAUUUCUUUCCACUAUUAGAUUUCAAAAACUUAGCUCCUUAGCUACCGAAACUGCUUGAAGACAUGCUUUCACCUUCCCCGUGGUGUCAUUUGCUACAAAGGUGUUGUGGUCCUGGAAUCCACGCCUCAUUCCAAACGUUGAUGGAUUUGCCAUUACAACCCUUCAACCUAAACCCUUCUCUAAGAGUCUUCUUGCGCUUCAUAUGCUCCGCCAGGUAUAAGAUGGGUGAAAACCUAAACUUGCUUUUAAAAAUUCAUUGUUUGGGUAGUAUUUAUCUUUUAUUACUCUAGCAAAAAAGUAAUUCAGUUGCAUCGUUAACUUC